rnacentral:lncRNA from 1 species
GUGCAAAUUGCAGUUCUUGUUUGUUUACACUUGAAGCUGUACUAGGCACUGAGGGCUGAAGCUGCAACAAAUUCCUAACCGUUCCCUCAUUUGACCAGGAGUGUUUGACCAAACCAUAGAGGGUCGGUGUCAUGAGGAGCUCAGAGGAAAUGUCACAGAGCUCUUUGCUGCUGAGUGGGAGGUCAUGAAGAGUUUGGAGUCUGGCUGUGGUGCUGAUACAUAUGAUGGGUUGAUGGAAAGAAGACAAGCCUGCGAGCGAUGCAAUGUGGUGGUGCAUUUGAGGUCUGUGAACGUGAAACAAGUGCCCAAGCAGCUAGCUUGUGUUGAUCUUUGUGCUAGCAUUGCUUCACAAGGCACUGGUGUUUGUUCUGGCUCUACUAGAGGCAGGCGUACACUUAGACUGCAGACCUACUGCCAAUAAUCAUCUUUCUGAAGAGAUUGCUAGGACUGACAGAAAUAACGAGAAGGAGCAAGUUGUGCUGAUCGUGGCCUCCUACCUACUGGUCUGCAAAUGGGGCUUCACCAUGCUGAGCUGCUUCUGAGCACUGCAAAUCCACUGAUUCUGACCACCGUUGACUGUGUUAGCCGCUUUGUUAUCCCAGGAACAUGUCUGGAGAAGAGAGUGCAGCAACAUCUGGAGGAUGGUGAACUGCUAUGGUGAGGAAAACUGCAUGAUCUAAGACAGCAUGGCCAGUCCUCAGAAGCUGAGCUGGAAGGAUCAUUUGGGCAUUCCAGCUGCUGCAGGUGGGCCAGGUAAUCACCAGGAGGUGGCAUCCAUCCCCCAGAGACACUGCAGCCCAUGCUGGGUAUGGUGCCUGUCCUUAUCUGUGAGCCUUGUUCUUCCUCUAGAUUGUGCUAGGUCUCUGCAGCAGGGUAUUUGGGGCCAGCUAGGUCUUGGUCUGCAGGCUGGAGGUGAGAAGUCCUGCCACCACACAGCGCUGCCAGCGUGUUCCCAUUCUGAGUCAUUCCUUUGCCUGUUUAUUUUCGGUAUUUGUUUAUUUACCAGUGAGGUGUCAGCCCAGAGCAGGUUGGCUGUGCUGAACUCCUCUGGUGGCCCAAUGGCUGCUGCCAGCUCUCUCCAAGUCCUGCUGUGUUGGGAUUGCUUCCACCCCGAGCCCAGGGAGAGAGAGGUUGGGUUGCUGUGAGAGGAAUGCCAGCACAGUCUCCCACCAGAAGCGUGCUCAGCUCCAGGUAACGAGCGUGGUACCACAGGCAUGGCUGUCUGCUGAACUCCCCAUAUCUACAGAUGGAAGAGCUAUUGAGUGGUUAUAGCUGAAAGCCUUGCCUAUCUAAGGAAAUGUCAGCAACAUAUUGAAGUAGGAGAAGGAACAAGGCCUACAGGUCCCCCGGAAUUGUGUGAAGGAAGGACUACUGCUCCAUUGGAACCUGUGGUCUAUGUAUGUCCCCAGCAAGACCUUCACAGAACAUCAGGCAAGGGAUUGUACUGGAAGUUUCAGCAGUGUCUGCCAGGCACAACUGCUCUGGGAAAAGGCCAUCCAGCUGUGGUACCCACAGUUAAAGAAGGGUGUUGAAAAAUUGGAGAUAUUUCAGAGAAGAGCCACAAGAAUGACCAAAAGAUUGGAAAACAUGCCUUAGCAGUGGAGUCCAUCUGCUUAGCUUACCAAGCAGCAAGAAAAGUUUUGAGUACUGCUUCCAAGCCAGUUUUAUAAGGAACGGAAGCAAUACACCCCUGUUCAAGGCAGCACACAACUUUUCAGCACAGAGGUAGUGCCUGUGGCAGCAUUGGGAAGAAUCCAUGAGACAGCAGUGUCAAGCUCUCUGCACUGGCUUUCUGGCAAGGGUUCUCUCCCUGAGCAUGUUUUUUCAUGGGAUUUUCAACAGUAAUGCUUUUCCAUCCAAGGUUUUCCUCAAAAGACUGAAUAAGUUGAAUGCAGAAGACAAAGUCAGUUGGAACACCCCAUUUGCUCAGCUCAUCAUUGGGAAUAAAGAGGAAGUUAUAAGUCAAUGGGUGCCCUGAAGGAAAGAUUUGGUCUUCUUUGCCUGAGCUUGCCCUGCAAAAGGCUAUCGGUACAGCUCACCUGUUCAUGAAGUACCAGAUAGACCCAUCGGAAUCAGAGCAAUCUCUAGUUCCUGAGCUCUGCUUCAGUUUUGCUGGUGAAGCUCAAGUCUGAGGCUGUGCUCUGACCAAUCUCUCCUUCCUUUACUGUAAAGACACGGUGAAAUGGUAAUCCCUUUCUGAAGGAGGAAACAGGAUGUUCCUCUCCCUUGGCCUGGCAGCACUGGCCAGCUGUGCACAGCUGCACACCAGCCCAGAAGCAGAAAGUUCAAGUUCACCCUUCCUAAGCAAGGAUCUAUGCCUUGGGCUCAAGCCAAGCUGGCAACCACCAACAGAGAGAAGCAGCACAAAGCAUAGCAGACCCUGCAUAUAGGACCCACGUUUGCACCAUUGCCAUUGCUCCACCACUGAGCUAGAGAGGCUUUCAUGCACACAAAACUUAAGGACUGUAUUUUGGGCAUGUCUUUGGAAAGGCUUCUAAUCGUUGAAAAGUUCUUCACUUAAAUUCAUCAUCAUCAUCAUCACCGAAUGAGUGACAGGGAUUUAAACCUUAAUAUUGUGUGGUGAUGUGCUGACUGGGAUCUGCAACCUGCUCCCUGUGUCCACAUGGGGUAUGAGGAAUGCCAAGCAGUGCCCACUGUGUACCCAGCUGUAUUCGUGCUCUCAGCCAGCAGCCCUUCAAGGGCAGCCUGUGCCAUGUUCAGCAGAGGGCUCAGCUGCCUGCCCUGGUCCCGGGACAACAGCCUUCCAAUGGGAACUUACCUUAAUGACACUCGAUUUACAGUGAGCCCAAAGCAGCAAAGGACUCUUUGAAAAUCUCUAGAGUGGACACUCCCAGAGCUGUCUGUAUACACUUCGAAUUAAUUAUUCCCUUCAUGGAAAUUGUACAAGAUGUCCCCUUGCUUCUUUCUGACUGCCUUCCUGCCCUUUUCUGAUAAUCCCUCUCUAUCCUCUGGGCUCUCUCUGGUCCUAAACUUAACAUAUAAAGCUAUUUUUAUCUAGGGGUUAGGGUGUGAAUAAAUUCAGAGAAUGUCUCUCAACAUGACUUUAUGUCUGUAAGCCCUCCUUUAACUUGAUUAGAAAUGCUCAGACUUUCUUGCGAGCUGCCUUUGAGCAUCCUCUGGUGAAGUAGCUGCCAUUGGAAGAAUUUCUUCUCCCAUCGGUUGCAGGAGGCAGGGAUCAGCCAGGAGCAAUAGAGAGGCUUAGAGGUAGACCCAAGACUCAGGAGGUUUCUGAUCCUCACUGCUGCAUAUGAUGACCUUGGACACAUCUCCUCACAGCUCUUGGGUAAUGCAGGUGUGACACAGGCAUUCAUCCUGCAGCUACACCAGAACUGCAGCAGAUGCCCGUGCUGGGCUGUGUUCAGCUCAGUUUGCUGAGGUUUCAGGGACACCUCAGGGAGAGAUGGGUUCUCAGCGCUCCAUUAAUUUUAAAGAGGGACACAGGUGCCUCCAGGGUUCCUGAAAAAUGCAGCUCUUAAUGUUUUAUGGAAAGGGAUGAAAUGUGCCAGGAAGAAAAAAAAAAAAAAAAAAAGGAGGAUUUUGUUCAUGUCCUUAGGUGUGAUGAGUCCUUUCUCUAAAAUGGCAAAGGCAAUUCACUGAAGCAUUGCAGAGAUUCCCUGGAAGAAGCCACACAAUCUCUUAUCUCUAAUGAGCAGACAGAACAACUGCUUUGUAUCUGAAGAUGACCUCAGGAGGCCAGGGCUGGCAGCAGGUUACCUGCCCCACAGGAGCCUCUCUGAGCUCCUCCUGGCUGCAGUGCAACUCAGGUUGUGUCACUAAAUGUCAGUGGUGUCAGUGGAAAGAGUUUCUGCUGGGCUGCAGACAAACAAACGAGUCUUACCAAGCUUGGGCCCCACUGUGGCAGGGCUGCUCUUUGAGGUCAGCUGGACAGGUGUCCUCAGGCACUGCCAGCUGUGUGCCAGCUGGGCUGGAGACCAUGCUGCCAGGCUUGCUGGCUCAGGUGAGCAUAGUCUCGAUACUGCCUCAUACUCUCCUGGUCUAACGAUUACACAGCGGUACUACAGAGAUGUGCUAUAAGAUAGACUGGCAUAAAGGCAGGCUUGGAGCCAAUGUCAGCUUGCUUUUGAGAGGGACAAAACACCUACGAGUUCUGCAGAGCACUGGAUGCUCGCUUAUGCUGGAUGCACCAGACUCUACGUGCGUUCAGUGGGCUCUGGUGUACCAGCGAAAUGGUGGUCUGAGAUGUUCUGGAGCUGUGAGCGGUCAGCUUGGGUCACAGGUAAUGUGACCAGCAUUCUUUCAGGCUGUUGUCCUUCUUAUUUCAAUGUAAACACUUCCCACCUGUCCCAAAUAUGCGUGCCAUUCUCCAAGACUUUCCAGCAUUGCUUACAUUUGCAGAACUUUAUUCCCCGCUCCCUCUCCCCGUGCCGCAUCUGUUCCCAUCACAGCUGUGGCCACCCUGUUCUGUCUGGCUGACACCCCCGGCCCCCUCCCCUCCGAAUCACCUCCCCCUCCAAGAUCAAAAUACUCUGUUUUUAUUUAUUUACCCUGCAGCUGUCAGUGUUGUGUCUGGGUCAGUGCACUGCAACGUGGAGGGACACGCGAUACGUGGAAAAUCCUUAAAACUGCCAGUCCUGGUAGUAACCAACAUACACACCAUCAACAAAUAGAUCCCUUGGCCCUUUGCUCCUUUGAAAACAACAGGUCUGGGCAAUGGAAGAAAUGACAUUGUUGGAGGCCAGCACAGACAUCCUGGCUUGAACUAGCACUGGGGUUGCAUGUGUUUGGGGAGGAGAGGGAGGGCCGAAGGUAUGGGCCACCCCAGGGCUGUCACAUCAGUGCUUAUCAGGACUGCAGAAAUGCACCAGGCAGUAACGUGGGUGUGAGAUAUCAAAUGAGUGCUUUGCUGCCUCACAGACCCGCACAUUCAUGUUUUAAAUGAAGGAAAACACUGUGAGGGCUACAGAUGUUGUUGAGGAGCAGAAAGCAUUGGUAUCCAAGUGCAGGCUUCAUUGGAGUUUAGUCCUCAGCCCUGUUCAGCCACAGCAUCCUAUAAAGGUAUGCUAUGCUGGUGCAAAGGCCUAGAAGAGGACCUUUCAUCAGUGCAAACUGGUGUAAAAAAAAAAUAAUUCAGAACCAUAACUAUUAGGGUUAGAGAGGAAUGGAAAGAGCAGUCAAGUAGCCAUUGCCCAGCAAAACAGGUUUCUGCUGCUGACUACUGCUGAUUAACACAUCAUUUCCUGCAUUUUCAGGAAACUUUGCACAGUAACUGGAUAAACAGACUUGAUCAAAACUCCUUGCUGUGCUGGUGGUGCACAAGUGCAGUGGCUCUUCUUUAUGCUGCCUGCCCUGGGAUGGGCCCAGCAGCCACAUGCUACCCCACCAAAAUGCAAAUGCCAUCUCAAAAACAGCUCUGGAGCGCCCACUGUGAAUAUACAUAUCAUCACUUACCCAUGUUACAGCUAGAAUGCACAACUAAGGCUGUGGUUUCCUGAAAGCGAAGAGCUGGGUGCAGCUCUGCAAACCUGGGUGUUUGCUCCCACCAGCAGCUGUGAUUUGGGCUGAGGUAGGACACACACUGCAGCAGCUGGGUGAGCAGAUGGAAAACAGGUCUUUGACUGCUAGCCACUGCCCCAGGUAGUGUCUGGGACCACGAGAACUGCUCUUUCCUCUGUGCCUUCUGGGGUUUAGGAGAAAGGGGUGUUCCUCUCUUUCACUCCAGGAUGAUAUUAAGAAAGGAGAAAGGGCAAGGAGAACAGGAUUUCAUUUCUUCUUUCUCCUUCCCCAAGAAUAAUGAAUUUGUUGGUCUGUCAAAAAGAGGGCAGCAAGUAAACUAUAACCCAAGGAAUGGGGUGGUCCAGCACUGGGAGCUGGUCAUGGGUUCCCUUAAUCAAACUCCUCUUUGCUAAGUGUCACCUGCCUUUUCACAGGCACCAUCCAUCCCAAGCACUGCAAGGUAACUUGCAGGUACCUCAACAGGACCUGUGUUGGAGCCUCUUUCUUGGGCUAGCAGGACAUGCCCAUGGCAACCAGACUUUUGGUAGAGAGGUUGGAGAUGAGCAGGCAGGCUGUGGUGGAUGGCUCCAGGGCAACGUAGCAGUCAUUAUGGCUGAACUGGGUCCUGAAGAGAAAUGAAGAGGGAACGCUCUGGACUUCCUUCGUGCACUGUCCUUCCCUUUACAGACAGCUUCUUCUCCAGCUGGACCAGCUGCUACCUCUGACCAGUGAACUAUAGCAUCCAGAGCUCAUACAAGCGUUUAGGUGUUCGUAUGGAGGUGAAGCAGUUCCAACAGAACUCCAAGAGAAACCCACCCAGUCAAGUACAUGAUGGAAGGUGCCCUGGUACCCUGCUGAGUUUCUGGCUCCUGUUCCAUGGCAGAAGGCAAGAGAUUGGAUUGUCUCCCAGUGACAACUGCUAGCACCACAGAGCUAGAACCUGGUAAAAGACGAAGAAAACCGCCAUGCCUUUGGGGAAAUGACUCUGCUACCUUGCCAAGAAACAUGUUUGGCAAGUUUAUAAGCCAAGGUGGAGCUGAAGUUCCCUGAGCCCUUCUGCCCUCCUUGAAAGAUGUCAGGUGGGAACCUCAGCAAACCUAAUAUCUUGAGUAGCAUCUCCAGGGUUGGGCAAACUGGUUCAGGUAGAAGAAAUUGCAGCUCGUACUGAACCUUUGCCCACUUCUUGAUAGGCUCAGCCUGAAUGGUAUCUUCUUCCACCUCACAAACCCAAACCUGGCACAUGCCUGUCCUGAGAACUGAACUUUCAUAGACAAUGUGAAAAGUAUGGCUGA